ACAAUGCGGAACAAUGUUUUGCAAUUGGAUUGAGAACAACGUACAAACCUUAUCGAUAAACAAUUGGAGGGCAAGUCUGGUGCCAGCAGCCGCGGUAAUUCCAGCUCCAAUAGCGUAUAUUAACGUUGUUGCAGUUAAAAAGCUCGUAGUUGAAAUGAAGGGUAGUUGUGUAAUGAAUACAUUCGUGUAUUUUGUUAUUCAAGUACCCUCCUUCUAAAUUCGAUAUAUGAGUAUUAAUUUACUUGUAUAUGGUUUUAGACAUUUACUGUGAGAAAAUUAGAGUGUUCAAAGCAGGCAUUUGCUUGAAUAUAUUAGCAUGGAAUAAUCAUGUAUGAUUUUCAUGAUGUAUUUGAUUGGUUUGGUUGAUGAGAAUAAGAUUAAAAGGGACAGUUGGGGGUAUUCAUAUUCAAUAGUCAGAGGUGAAAUUCU
rnacentral:rRNA from 1 species